UCUGAUAUGGCAGAAUAGUGCCGUAGAUUUAAGAUCUACUCAAAAAGGUUUAAGCCCUUUUUUCAGAA
rnacentral:tRNA from 1 species